rnacentral:lncRNA from 1 species
GGACAUCAGAAUUGAAUAAAAUUGGAAGUAAACCAACUGUGUGCAGUAUUAUUAUGCAGAAAAUACACGGUGUGCAGUAGAAACAGAAGGGGCCAGAAAGCAAUGGGAGUGACAAAUUGGAAAUGGUACGGCUGUUAUAUUCUGAGGGCUUAAGGGUCACAAAACACAGCUGGCACACGGCACAGCACAGCACAACCUUCUGGGGACAAUUAGGAUUUCCAUAGUAGGAUGGGUUAGGUCUCUCUUCUGUACCACCCCAUCUUCAAUAGGUCAAUAAAUCUUCCCCUUCCAAUUUUCACCUAUCACCCCCCUCCUUCUGCUCACUGCACCCACCACCAAAGCAAUAAUAUUAAUACCACUCUCUUCUCUUCUCUUCUUCUUCUUCUUCUUCUUCUUCAACCAGCCAAAUACCCAGAGACUUCAAAAUGUUUUUCUUUUUCUUUGAUUCAUUAAAACCCAGCAUUUACCCCACACCCCACAUACAUUG